CGUGAGGCUGGGGGGACAAAGAAGGUGAAGGCUGAGGCAGGUUUCCCAUGGGGCAUGGCGGGUUGCCCUCCAUUCCUUCAGCCACACUGGCCCUCCCGAAGCCCAGAUGUGUGAUGUCUUCACAUGGAAAGCCUUCCAGCAAUGCUUCUGCUGCCCUUGGCAACCUUAUACCCUGUGAUGUACACAAAGGCGCAGGCCGACAUCCUAUCCGUCUAUGAACUGUGCCCGUGGCACCCAGCACUGGAAGUAUGUGUGAGUAGGGGAGAAGAAUCAGCUUUGAAUUAUGGAGCCAGAAGCUGGUCUGCAGAAAUUCUUCCACUCAUCAAAUAUAUAAACUUCAGCUGCCCACUAGGCAGAUCCUAUGUGCUAGGUCUGCACCGGGACCGUGGAAGUGCCAGGAAGGAGACACAGCCCUGCCUUUGAGAAGCUGCACGCCCGUGAGGGAGACAGAGCAUCCACCAGGCAGCACCACUACAGAGGCAUCCGAGCUCUCGUGGGACAGGCCACCUGCAGUGAGGCCACUUAGUGACGCUGGAGAGCGUGGCUGUGUGUGACCCAGGGGUCUAAUCUUGACUGCACAUUUGACUUACCAGAGAAGCUUCUGAAAUAAAUAUGU